AACGAACGCUGGCGGCAUGCCUAACACAUGCAAGUCGAACGCUUAUCCGGGCUUUGGUUCGGAUGGGAGUGGCGCACGGGUGAGUAGCGCGUGGGAACCUGCCCUGUUGUGGGGGAUAACCGAGGGAAACUUCGGCUAAUACCGCAUGCGCCCGGAGGAGACUCCGGGGAAAGUAUUUAUCGCUGAAGGAUCCGGCCCGCGUCGGAUUAGCUAGUUGGGUAGGGGUAAAGGCCUACCAAGGCGACGAUCCGUAGCUGGUCUGAGAGGAUGAUCAGCCACACUGGGACUGAGACACGGCCCAGACUCCUACGGGAGGCAGCAGGUGGGGAAUAUUGGACAAUGGGCGCAAGCCUGAUCCAGCCAUGCCGCGUGAGUGAAGAAGGCCUUAGGGUUGUAAAGCUCUUUCAGCGGGGACGAUAAUGACGGUACCCGCAGAAGAACGCCCCCGGCUAACUUCGUGCCAGCAGCCG
rnacentral:rRNA from 1 species